UCUGUGCGUGAUCAAAUUUGGACCGUCUGCACGUGUGAGAUCUAGGCCGUCCAAGUGCGCUUUUGAUCUGUGUCGUCUGUGCACGCGGGAAUGGAUCUGGGCUGUCUGAUCGCGCACACACGGAUCGCCCACGUGUCUCCGUCCUGCGUGGCUUCUCGCGUCAGCGUCCCUGCCACGCGGCGUGUCCUGCUUGGCCAGGACUACUGACGCAGCUGCUGACGUGGCGCU
rnacentral:lncRNA from 1 species